rnacentral:rRNA from 1 species
CGGUAAUUCCAGCUCCAAUAGCGUAUAUUAAGUUGUUGCAGUUGAAAAGCUCGUAGUUGGAUUUCUGGUGGGCACAGUCGGUCCGUCCGCAAGGACGCGUACUGGAGCUGUCGCCCGCCAUCCUCACAGAGAGGCCGUCUGGCAUUAGUUUGUUGGGCGGUGGAUCUGUGUCGUUUACUGUGAAAAAAUUAGAGUGUUUAAAGCAGGCAAUCGCUUGAAUACAUUAGCAUGGAAUAAUAAGGUAGGACCUCGGUGCUAUUUUGUUGGUUUGCACACCAAGGUAAUGAUUAACAGGGAUAGUUGGGGGUAUUCGUAUUUAAUUGUCAGAGGUGAAAUUCUUGGAUUUAUGAAAGACGAACUACUGCGAAAGCAUUUACCAAGGAUGUUUUCAUUAAUCAAGAACGAAAGUUAGGGGAUCGAAGAUGAUUAGAUACCAUCGUAGUCUUAACCAUAAACUAUGCCGACUAGGGAUUGGCGGACGUUAAUUUUAUGACUUCGUCAGCACCUUAUGAGAAAUCAAAGUCUUUGGGUUCCGGGGGGAGUAUGGUCGCAAGGCUGAAACUUAAAGGAAUUGACGGAAGGGCACCACCAGGAGUGGAGCCUGCGGCUUAAUUUGACUCAACACGGGAAAUCUCACCAGGUCAGGACGCACGUUGGAUUGACAGAUUGAAAGCUCUUUCUUGAUUGUGUGUAUGGUGGUGCAUGGCCGCUCUUUGUUCGUGGAUUGAUCUGUCAGGUUGAUUCCGGUAACGAACGAGAUCUUGGCCUUUUAAUGACAGCUUGAUCGGUUUGUAGUCCAAUGCUGAUGCGCUUGCGUACUCACGUUGUAUGAGAUCUUGACAUGUACUUAAAGGGACUAUGCGUGUUUACAGUGCAUGGAAGUGCGAGCCUAUAGCAGGUCUGUGAUGCUCCUAGAUGUCCUGGGCUGCACGCGGCAUACAAUGGUGAAGAAAACGAGUUUGGUUUGUUUGAGCUCCUUGUGCGAAAUCAUUGGGAAAUCUGUGUAACCUUCAUCGUAAUGGGGAUAGUUGCUUGCAAUUAUUUGCCUUGAACCAGGAAUGCCUUGUAGACUCGACUCAGCAAGUCGAAUCGAAUACGUCCCUGCCGUUUGUACACACCGCCCGUCGUUGCAAUCGAUCGGCUCAAUGCUAGAGGUUUUCCAGAGGUGGGAUUGCUCAGUCUACUGUCUGUUUUGCUUAAGUUAAUCAAUAGCCUUGAACUAGAGAAUGCAAAAGUCGUAACAAGGUAGCCGU